rnacentral:lncRNA from 10 species
GUGUGCCAUGGAGGCAGUGGGUGAGGGAGAUGCUGGGGAUACAUGGCUGCAGAGGCUGGCCCCAGCCACACAGGGUGCCACAUGGGACCAGAGGCCACCAAGCCCCCUUUCAGCACCCCACAAGGCUGGGGGGGACCCAGAACUGGUGUGCACACAUUGCAUGAAGCUGAUGUGUUCUGAGUCCUCUUCAGUGUUUCCUUUGCUCAACAAAUUUAAAUCUCCACAACUCAGAAAGGAAAAGUUGUGCUGCUGUACUACACUAAAUCAAGUUGAAUUACCAGGAAGCUAUCACACAAGAAUGUGGUAAUGAUAUACUGGAAAAUGUGAAUACAUCUCCCCUCAAAUGCAUCUGCUUUGACACCCCUAAGACACCAUGACGGUGCCCCACAGUCUGAUGCUCAGUAACAAGAAUUCUGCCAGUGAUUUCCACUGAGCAACAGAAACGCCUUCAGGAAUUUACUGUAAGCAAAACCACAGCCAAGUAUAACACAAUAUAACAGACGUGAGAGUCUCGCAGUGCUGGAAACCUUCAUCUUGUCCAAGUGCUUUCGCUGAGAAACGUGAGGGUGGCUCACUGCCACCCACGCAGGGAGCAUCAGCAAAGGCCCACGCAGGGCUAGGCCUCAGCAGGCACCACACGGCCACACACAGAGGCACCCCACAGCCCAGGCUCUCCCCACCAAAGGGUGAGAAGGCAACUGCCCCACAGUGUGUGCCCCAGUGCAGCUGGGAGGGAAGCAGCCAGCCACCUGCAAGACAGAAGCUGGUGCAUCGUGGCAGCAAGGACACUGGCACCAUGGCCUGUGGCCAACGUGGGUAGUGACACUGGUCCUAAAACUACAGGCAUCCUUCUCAAACAAUCAAGCAAAAACAAACCUGCUAGAGUUCACUAAACAACAGCAGGAUCUGUGCCCUUGCUCACACUGCCUGCCCCUCUAACAGCCCUCCCUCUGCCUGCUCAGGACCAGCACAGGCCCCCUCCUCUCUGAGAGCCUGUCAGUGCCCUCUAGGGCACCACCUGCAGGGGCCUGGGGCCUGACAUGAGCACCGGAGCAGGAGCAGAGACCCUGCCAUGGCCUCCCGACUGGCCAGCACAGAGCUGCCUCACCACGAAGGUCUGUCCUAUCCU